GUUUUCGUAGUGUAGUGGUUAUCACGUGUGCUUCACACGCACAAGGUCCCCGGUUCGAACCCGGGCGAAAACA
rnacentral:ncRNA from 15 species